AGGAGCAACCAAAUCAGCACUAAUACACGGGAUUCCAUCAGAACUCCGAAGUUAAGCGAGCUUGGGUGAGAAUAGUUCUAAGAUGGGUUUGUCUUAUGACUUUUACAGAUUCAGGCUAGUGGCUCGAC
rfam:Cephalotus follicularis DNA, scaffold: scaffold788, isolate: St1.